GCGUUACCAUUCCAUUUCAUUGCCAGAAAACAAAACGGACAAUAACAAAAGUCUCCUUUUGAGGGGAGACUUUUUGUUCAGUU
rnacentral:sRNA from 22 species